UCCCUGGAGGACUAGUGGUUAUGCCACAGCACUCUUACCGCUGCAGCCCGGGUUUGAUUCCCGGCCAGGGAA
rnacentral:tRNA from 1 species